GCCCCCUUACCUCAGUUGGCUAGAGGGUCCGCCUUGUAAGCGGAACGUCGUCGGUUCGAUCCCGACAGGGGGCUCCA
rnacentral:tRNA from 1 species